GUGAAUCAUCAAAUUUUUGAACGCAAAUUGCGCUUCCUGGCAUCCCGGGGAGUAUGCCUGUUUGAGGGUCAGUAUUAACAAAAACUCGGUUUUGUUGCAAAUUGUUACGUUCUCGGAGAUUGGACAAUCUUAACUUUUUGGAUUGAGGUGCUUAAAAUUGACCUUAUUAGCGCAUUUUUAGACGUACAUAAAUUUUUUUUUAUUCGUCUAUGCUUAAUCCCAAAAUAUUAUUAGAUGCAAU
rnacentral:misc_RNA from 1 species